rnacentral:rRNA from 1 species
CCUACGGGAGGCAGCAGUGAGGAAUAUUGGUCAAUGGGCGCGAGCCUGAACCAGCCAAGUAGCGUGAAGGAUGACUGCCCUACGGGUUGUAAACUUCUUUUAUAAAGGAAUAAAGUGAGGCACGUGUGCCUUUUUGUAUGUACUUUAUGAAUAAGGAUUGGCUAACCUCGUGCCAGCAGCCGCGGUAAUACGGAGGAUCCGAGCGUUUUUCGGAUUUAUUGGGUUUAAAGGGAGCGUAGAUGGGUUGUUAAGUCAGUUGUGAAAGUUUGGGGCUCAACCGUAAAAGUGCAAUUGAUACUGGCAGCCUUGAGUACAGUUGAGGUAGGCGGAAUUCGUGGUGUAGCGGUGAAAUGCUUAGAUAUCGCGAAGAACUCCGAUUGCGAAGGCAGCCUACUAAACUGCCACUGACAUUGAUGCUCGAAAGUGUGGGUAUCAAACAGGAUUAGAUACCCGGGUAGUC